AUACUUACUUGGCAGGGGAAAUAUCAUGAUCAUGAAGUUGAUUUUCCCAGGGUGAGGAUCAUCUAUUGCACUCCAGGUGUGCUGAUCCUUGAGAUUUCCCCAAAAGCAGGAGACUCCGGUACGUAAUUUGUGGUAGUGGGGGACUGUGUUUGCACAUUA